AUGCAGCAGCCUAGUUAUCGGACAGUGGCAUAUAGUACGCCACCACUGCCGCCUGUCGGUAUCGGGGUUCUGUAUGGGCCGGUUCAUGAUUCAUAUUUUAGUGGGUCUCCGUUGCAAACUUCGCAUGCUCCAAUUUCUUUGCCGGAAUUUCCACCACGUGCUGGUGUUCCAUCUGCUCCACAAGCCAGUUCUCUACAGCCCAAUAAUAAUUUUAAGGAUCAGCUUGCUAACAUACUUAGAGAAUUUGGUUUAGAACCUAAGGGUAGAGCACGUGCAUAUCAAAAACCAUACCCUGAUUAUUUUGACUCGACACCAUAUCCUCAUGGUUUUAGAAUUCCAGAUUUUGUUAAAUUUACGGGGAAGAUGGUAGAUCUACUUUUGAGCACGUGGGACAAUUUUUAG
rnacentral:rRNA from 1 species